rnacentral:rRNA from 1 species
GCCCCAAUAGCUAGCCCAACUUCAAAAAUCAACAACCCCUAUUAAUACCCCCACAAUAACAAUAAGCAAAC